rnacentral:tRNA from 1 species
UGGGUUGUAGCUCAGUGGUAGAGUACUUGCUGGGCACAUGUGAGGCACUGGGUUCGAUCCCCAGCAGCACAU